rnacentral:SRP_RNA from 2 species
GCCAGGUGUGGUGGUGCAUGCCUGUAAUCCCAGAUACUCAGGAGGCUGAGGCAGGAGAAUCGCUUGAACCCAGGAACCCAGGAGGCAGAGGGUGCAGUGAGCUGAGAAUGCGCCACUGCACUCCAGCCUGGGUGGCAGAGUGAGACUUUGUCUCAA